UCUCCAGACCUUUUUUUGUACAAGUGCAGUUUCCAGACAUUCACAGAGUGAUUUUGCAGUUCAAGAAAGUGUGUAAAAUGAUGUAUUGUUUUACAGGUGAAGCACCCAGCCAUUCUCAGAGUGAUUUCUCCAUUCAAGAAGAACAAGCUGACCAAAGUCUGCUGGCUUCAAUCAGGAAGGAGAUCUCAUCCGCUACUCGCAGCAUUUUGAAAGACAUGGCUGUCUUAAAAACGCAAAAUGAGGCCAUUUUGAACCUCUUAGGUAGUAACCGCGAGUGCGAGAUGGAUGAGCAGCCUGUACAGACAUACCCGCUAAGGACGGUUGAUGAAAUUGACCAUCUGGAAAGUAAUUUGAAAAGCUCCAGCAGCACCCGCAGGCAACUGUGCAAAGUCCUAGGUCACAUUGGCGGCAACACAGUGCGCUCAACAACUGCAAACAUCUUGAAAUAUUUACUUCACGAUUCCGUCGCUGUCAUGUACAGUCUCCAUGGGCAAAAAGGAAAAAGAGCCUUGGCUGAGACAGAGUUGUGCCGCAUAAUUCUGGGUAAGCGGUGUGCAAGUGUCUGCAAGCUACUGUAAUAAGUGGCAUGCUAGAUUUACAGCAUUGGCUUGCUUUAAUUGCACAUCGAGUCACAAUGUGUAAUUUUGCGAUCUGUAAGCUGUAACGAAACAUUAAAAAAUUGUUUUGCCAUAUGCAAGCUCAGUUUAAACACAUUGGGUAGGUCACUUCUGGCAGUGGCCUACUGGCUAUGGCAUUGAACUGAACGCAUUGUCAAAUGCUUGAAUACCAACCAUAUGUAUGCAGCCCUCCACCACAGUAUUUCAUAAUGUGGCAGUAGCUGUGGUAUGUAAAACAAAUCGGCAAUUAGAUAACUAGCUAAGUUUUCAGAACGUUAAUUCAGUCACUUAAUAUACAAAAGAUGGUUAUUUGGAGACCUGUGUGGUUUUGUUGAAUGCCCAUUGUAUAACUUAGUGCUUUUUACAGAGUCCGUACGAAAAAAUGCAGCAACAGCAUCUGCUUCAGAUGCAGAAAUCCGUACAGGUAUCAUGGCAUGGCUAAAGAAUGCACAAGCCCGUCUUGAUGCAGCCAUGAAGCGGGCACAUGUUGAAACGGACCAAUGAGUAAACAGUUAAAUGGUGGCAAAGCAGCCACAUUUUUCAAGCAGUUGUGUGCUCACCAAUCAAACUUAAGGUAAACAUAUAGAAGCAUGCUAGGAUUGACUUUUUUUUUUUACUGUCUUCUUUUAAUUUUGAUGCAGCUGUUACGUUUACUCAUUCACGACACCACAAGGCCUGCUGGUUGCCAUUGUUUUUGUCUAGUCGAGGUAAGCCGCAUGGUUCCAAGCCAGAGCUUGACUGUUUUGUGGACUGACUACUUUUAAUUUCUACGCAGCUCUUAUGUUUACUCUCACAGAACCACGAGGU